AUUGAACGCUGGCGGCAUGCCUAACACAUGCAAGUCGAACGGGGGUUUUCGGACCCUAGUGGCGGACGGGUGAGUAACGCGUAGGAAUCUGCCUGAUAGAGGGGGACAACCUGGGGAAACUCAGGCUAAUACCGCAUAAUCUCGCGAGAGGAAAGCGGGGGAUCUUCGGACCUCGCGCUAUGAGAGGAGCCUACGUCCGAUUAGCUAGUUGGUAGGGUAAAGGCCUACCAAAGCGACGAUCGGUAGCUGGUCUGAGAGGAUGAUCAGCCACACUGGGACUGAGACACGGCCCAGACUCCUACGGGAGGCAGCAGUGGGGAAUAUUGGACAAUGGGCGCAAGCCUGAUCCAGCAAUGCCGCGUGGGUGAAGAAGGCCUGCGGGUUGUAAAGCCCUUUAGGUGGGGAAGAAAUAUGGGGUGCGAACAGUGCCUUUAUUUUGACAUU
rnacentral:rRNA from 1 species